CAGUACUGUACAAGCUGUAAGCAGUGCAUUUCAGCUCCUGUCUGCCAACACCGAGGAUUUCUAAAUCAUUACAGCCCAGAAGACAGUGAAGAAGUAAGAGGUAGAAAUACCACAAGGAGUACAUUCUUCAGAACAUUCUAUGACUGGACUGUCUCUUGAAAACCUUCACUGAAGUCAAUAGGAACUGAACACACAUAUCAGAAGUCAAACUUUGUGUCUUUAUGAUUUUUAGAAUGUUCUAAAAAGCCUCUGGAGGAACACUCUUAUAAAAUAAAUUCUGAGGUAAGCCCCUUAUGAAGAACAAAAGCGAGUAUUAUUUCACAGCCUCACCGAAACGCAGUGGAUCUGGAAUAAAUCAGGAAGAGUUUGGAAUGGAUUUAUUGGAAGGGUGAUGCUUCUGUUUAGCUUUCCAUUUUUUACGGGAAGAAUUAGAAAUGUCAUUUGGCAGAUGUCUAUAAUGUUUUUGGAACUGGAAGGAAAUUUGGCUUUUCCAUUUGGUGUGGGUGGAUGUUCCUCUAGGCCACAUUUAACAUGCAAAAUGGGAGAGGUGGGUUUGAAACCCUUCCUUGAGCGAGGCCUGUAGCUGCAUGUUUUGCAGACUUACUACAGAAAAUCCUCUGCCAGCAACCUGCAUACCUGAUCCAUCUAUUACCCCUAGGGAGAUGGCCCUAAGCAUCAGUUUCACUUUUUUUUUUUUUGCAGCAUGAAGAUUCAAGCAAAAAAAAAUCAAAGUAUCAGGAUUCAGAGCAGCAAGAAAUCAAUAGACCGGAUAAACUGGUUUAUCCUCCUUGCUUUCUGCUGCUGUGCAAAAGAGUUAUAAACAUGGUUUACCCAGCCAGAUUCCACCAGUGCAUCUAACCUUAUCUGCAUUUUGUGGAUCUAAGUACAUCUUGGGUUUAUGCUUGACAUUAUGUUUGAUGACUGUCCUGUCUGUUCCACCCCAAGCAGGAUGCAAUUCUAAUCUUUCUGGAUUUGGAGACUGAUGCUGAAGAACUAAUAAUUAUAAUUGAUGAAGGAAAAGCUCAUAUUCUUUGCAAGAGACCAGAGGAAACUUCAGACAAUACCACGCAGUGCUAAGUGAGAACUUACAACAUUGAAUAAGACUUAAAGACAUUUCUUCAAACACAUUGAUGAAAAGUCUAAAUUUACUAUGCCCCAAUAUUGACAUAGGUCUCCCUUCCCAUGAGGGGAAACUCUAAAAGCUUAAGUCUGUUGCUAUUCAUCCAUUUACCUUACAGCAAAAAGAUGACACUGCUAAGCGUCAUGUAUCUUGCAUCAUUCUUGGAAAUUCUUGCUGGAAUUGAAACUGCAAAGACAAGGAAAAAAAUCUGGUUAAUAUUUAUUUUCUACAACUUGACAAAAGCAUAGACAGGAACAGAAGAAUCAUAAAUGUCUACAGAAAACUGUGCAGCUUGGUGCAGAGAACCUGGAAACAUACGUACCCAGUUAGAUGAAUUUGCUUUGUGCUGCACCCGAGCUAAUAACCCCUAUUGAGAGGUUCAUAGUAUAGGUUAAGUGUUGCAACACAAGGAAUUAUAGAUCAGUGUAUAGAUCUAUAGAUCUACAGUCUACCUUCUGUCCUCAUAGAUACUGAAAUACACCUACAACAGUCUCUUUGAAAGUGUUUACGGUAAAAUUCAUCUUACCUUCUUUGGCCAGAUAAACAUUAUCUUUAUACUCUGAGUGUGAAACUCCAUGCUGAAGGAUAUUGUAGACAAUAGUUUCAGAAUGUAUAAAGAAAGUAGGCAAUAGAGAUGAAUAGAUGGGUCACUAAAGGCUGUUAAAAUACUAGACUGGGUGCAAGAAGUUUCUGGGUUUAAAAUUGCUUCGUUAUGGGAAAGUGAUCCUAGGGUAGUAUCUGUACUAUCUAGCAUGUUUUAAUGCACAUUCUACUUUAUAGGAAGCAUCAUACAUGGACAUAUGAAUCUAUUUGUUUGACUAAAUGUGUCUGUGGGUGAGACACGGUCAUCUUGUUCCACUAGGAUCAAUGGACACUGGAAACGCUUCCACAAGAUGUUCUAGAUGCUAUCAUCAAAAAUAUACAUGCAGCUGAUUAAAAUACUUUAUUCUCUAAGAGUCAGAAGCCUGUAAAGGUAGGUGUCAUGGUUUUAUGAUUUUUUGUUAUUGGUAUUCCACGUCAUAACAUCAUGUAGUGCACUGGGAGUUAAAGAGUUAAUGCUCCAGUUCCGUGGAUCAUGAAUAGUUCUGGGUACCCGGUUCUCAGAAGAGAAGAACUACAUUUCCCAGGGGACGCUGCUGCUCUGUUACCAUUUUCCAUGCAGACGGAAAGAUAAAACUGUUUGCAUUUCACAAGAUGUUCUCUCUUCUCGUCCCGUCUCUUGUCCUGGCAGCAUCUCGCUUCCCAGCUGUCUCACCACUGGUAUUAGAGUAAAGCCUACCUUAAUUUUGGACACUCUCUCUUAUUUUAUUGGAUUUAUUAGCUUAAAUUGUAAUUAUAUUGUAUUAUAGUAUGUUAUUUUGCAUUUUGAUAUAUUAUUUAGUAAAUUAGUUUGU